AGGCAGAAGAUUCUGCUGUGCAUGAGGCACACAGACCCAGUCUGCAUCCACUAUCGCCAUACUUUUCUGGGAGUAGCAUUGUUGUCCCAUGCUCCAACCAAAUGAGUGACAUGCAGGCAUGCACGCUAAGUCGCUUCAGUCAUGUUCGACUCUGCGACCCCGUAGACUGCAGCCUGUCAGACUCCUCUGACCAUGGCAUUCUCCCGGCAAGAAUACUGGAGUGGGUUGCCAUUCCCUUCUCCACAGGAUCUUCCUGAGCCGGGGAUCGAACCCACCUCUCCUGUGUUUUCUGCAUUGCAAGCAGAUUCUUUACUGCUGAGCCACCAGGGAAGCCCAAACAAGUGACAUGGGAUUUCAGUUCAGCAGUUAUCUUUUUCUGUAGCAAUUCCAGGGGCUAAGCCUUGUAACUCAAGGUCAGAAAGCUGUUCAAGUCUCUGAUGUCAAGGAGAGGUGGCAUCCUUUAGUCCAUGAGCCAUGGAAUUGGAGUCAGAUAUCCUGAAGUCAAAUCCCAGCUCAGCUGGAGGAAAAAACUCAGCAACUUGACUUGAUGUGUUUAAGGCAGUGAAUUACUAAGGAAUUCACACAACAGAGCUGCACAAAGAGAAGGCUGAGAGAGAGAACAUGAAUGGAAGACAGAAGAAUUAGCUGCUCCGCUGGACUCCCAGAAAGCAGCAGUCUCUAGCCCAACCCCUCCUCAUCCUGGCCCAGAGGUACAGACAGGGCUGUAGAUACCGAGGGGUGUGCCAAAACAUUUAACUGCACGCUAGCACAUAACAGAAGUUAUUGUUCGAACUGUUCAUACGUGUCAUUGAGAAACCACAUUCCUUGAAAAAAGCAUCAGAAAGUAACUUUAAAGUGGUCAGCUCUGGUCAACCACGGUGAGCAGUUCUGAUGAUACUUGCAUUGCCUGGAAUCUCACACCAGUCAGCAUCUCGGUUUGUCCACCUUGCCACCCUCCAAAAGCUCCUUGUUGUCAUUACAAAGACAGCAGCACAUUUUUCAGUAACACUUACUGUAUGCCAGGCACUGUUCUAGUCUUUUAUUUACACUGAUUAACUCAUUUUAAUCCUUCCAACAAACUUGUAAAAAGGUGCCAAUUUAAAUAUCGAAACUGAGGCUAGAAAAUCACUUGUCUUGCCCAAAGCCUCAUGACGGUUAAGUAGCAGAGCUGGGAUUCAAUCCAAGGCAGCUCGACUCCGGCUCAAUGCCUAUCCGGCUGUGAACCCCUGCCCUGGUCGCACUGCCUGAUACUGAAACCGCACACAAGCCCCUGUGUCCUUGUCUUCUGCACUAAGAGGCUGACUCAGAAGUUAACGAUUGGGAAAUGUGAAGAUGUAAAAACAAACAAUGGCUGCUGGGCUGGGGAACUGAAAACUAUUUAGACUCUGAAUUUGCCACCUGGCAGAAUCACCGAACUACCUUUUCCCUAAAAGAUAUGGAUAAACACUUGACGUGUAGGAAGCAGGCCCCCACCAGAUGAAAACUGCUGACCACACGAACACAGGCUCCAGACCAGUUGGAACCAUUAAGCUGAUGAUGCUGUUUCCUUCUCACCUCACCACCAAUCAGAAGAAUGUCCAUGAGCUGAUCGCAUCCUCUUUGAACCAUGACUAUACAACUCCUCACUACCCUCUCCAGGGCAGGGCAUGCAGACUUGAAGGCAUUAGCCCACUGUGGCCCCCGCUGCCUGGCAAAGCAAUAAAGCUUUUUCUUUCUAUUUCACCCAAAACUCUGUCUCCGAG